CUUCUUCCAGCUUUUUCCAAAUAAAGGGCUAAUAGAGUUGCGCUUUCUUAGUACAUUGCCUUUCAUUACCAACCUGUCGUUUUACAGCACGAAGUUACCUGAUGUUCGCUACUACUAAAAAGGGCGGAGAGAUGUUAACCUUUCGCUAUUAGUAAGCACUCCCCUAGUUUUGACCUAAUGAGCUUUCUUUACGUUGAGUUAACCCGGCGGGUU
rnacentral:lncRNA from 1 species